GACGAACGCUGGCGGCAUGCCUAAUACAUGCAAGUUGAACGAUGAUAUUCUCUGCUUGCAGAGAAUUGAAGAGUAGCGAACGGGUGAGUAACACGUGGGGAACCUGCCCAUGAGAGGGGGAUAACAUUCGGAAACGGAUGCUAAUACCGCAUAAUGCUUUGGACCGCCUGGUCCAGAGACGAAAGACGGCUUUUGCUGUCACUCAUGGAUGGCCCCGCGCCGUAUUAGCUAGUUGGUGAGGUAAUGGCUCACCAAAGCUGUGAUACGUAGCCGACCUGAGAGGGUGAUCGGCCACACUGGGACUGAGACACGGCCCAGACUCCUACGGGAGGCAGCAGUAGGGAAUCUUCCACAAUGGGCGAAAGCCUGAUGGAGCAAUGCCGCGUGAAUGAAGAAGGUCUUCGGAUCGUAAAGUUCUGUUAUUAGAGAAGAACAAGUCAGGGAGUAACUGUCUUGACUUUGACGGUACCUAACCAGAAAGUCACGGCUAACUACGUG
rnacentral:rRNA from 1 species